GACGAACGCUGGCGGCGUGCUUAACACAUGCAAGUCGAACGGAAAGGCCCUGCUUUUGUGGGGUGCUCGAGUGGCGAACGGGUGAGUAACACGUGAGUAACCUGCCCUUGACUUUGGGAUAACUUCAGGAAACUGGGGCUAAUACCGGAUAGGAGCUCCUGCUGCAUGGUGGGGGUUGGAAAGUUUCGGCGGUUGGGGAUGGACUCGCGGCUUAUCAGCUUGUUGGUGGGGUAGUGGCUUACCAAGGCUUUGACGGGUAGCCGGCCUGAGAGGGUGACCGGCCACAUUGGGACUGAGAUACGGGCCAGACUCCUACGGGAGGCAGCAGUUGGGAAUAUUGCACAAUGGGCGGAAGCCUGAUGCAGCAACGGCGCGUGCGGGAUGACGGCCUUCGGGUUGUAAACCGCUUUCGCCUGUGACGAAGCGUGAGUGACGGUAAUGGGUAAAGAAGCACCGGCUAACUACGUG
rnacentral:rRNA from 1 species